rnacentral:rRNA from 1 species
GAUGAACGCUGGCGGCGUGCCUAAUACAUGCAAGUCGAGCGAACAGACGAGGAGCUUGCUCCUUUGACGUUAGCGGCGGACGGGUGAGUAACACGUAGGUAACCUACCUAUAAGACUGGGAUAACUUCGGGAAACCGGAGCUAAUACCGGAUAAUAUUUCGAACCGCAUGGUUCGAUAGUGAAAGAUGGCUUUGCUAUCACUUAUAGAUGGACCUGCGCCGUAUUAGCUAGUUGGUAAGGUAACGGCUUACCAAGGCAACGAUACGAAGCCGACCUGAGAGGGUGAUCGGCCACACUGGAACUGAGACACGGUCCAGACUCCUACGGGAGGCAGCAGUAGGGAAUCUUCCGCAAUGGGCGAAAGCCUGACGGAGCAACGCCGCGUGAGUGAUGAAGGUCUUCGGAUCGUAAAACUCUGUUAUUAGGGAAGAACAAACGUGUAAGUAACUGUGCACGUCUUGACGGUACCUAAUCAGAAAGCCACGGCUAACUACGUG